GUGGGGAAUAUUGGGCAAUGGGCGAAAGCCUGACCCAGCAACGCCGCGUGAAGGAAGAAGGUUUUCGGAUUGUAAACUUCUGUCCUCAGGGAAGAAGGAAGUGACGGUACCUGAGGAGGAAGCCCCGGCUAACUACGUGCCAGCAGCCGCGGUAAUACGUAGGGGGCGAGCGUUGUCCGGAAUGACUGGGCGUAAAGGGCGCGUAGACGGCUGUCUAAGUCUGGAGUGAAAGUCCUGCUUUCAAGGUGGGAAUUGCUUUGGAGACUGGAUGGCUUGAGUGCGGAAGAGGUAAGUGGAAUUCCCAGUGUAGCGGUGAAAUGCGUAGAGAUUGGGAAGAACACCAGUGGCGAAGGCGACUUACUGGGCCGUAACUGACGUUGAUGCGCGAAAGCGUGGGGAGCGAACAGGAUUAGAUACCCCGGUAGUCC
rnacentral:rRNA from 1 species